UAAAAUGGAAGCGUGAAGGGAACGAGAAGAAGAAAGAGAAAUAAACACACAACUACAUUUCUAUUCUUUGGGUUCUUUCUCGUGGUUCUUUCUUUUCCUCUUUGUAUUCAGUUUAAUUCGCGCUUCCUUUCCCUUCCAUUGCAAUUAAACUGAAUACAAAGGGAAAACAAAGGACACACGAGACCCAGAUCAGCCGUCAGUCAAUGGUUCGUUUCUUCUUUGUUCUUCUUAUUCCUUUUGGCUUAAUUGUAAUGGA
rnacentral:ribozyme from 1 species